UUGGUACUCCCUCCGUUCGGAACUACUUGUCACAGAAAUGGAUGUAUCUAGACGUAUUUUAGUUCUAGAUACAUCCAUUUUCGAGACAAGUAAUUCCGAACGGAGGGAGUAGUAG
rnacentral:pre_miRNA from 1 species